GUCUACGGCCAUAUCACCCUGAACGCGCGAGAUGUCAUCUGAUCUCGGACGCGAAGCAGGGUCAGGCCUUGUUAGUAUUUGGAUGGGAGACUGCCUGGGAAUGCCGGGUGCUGUAGACU
ensembl:rRNA 5S_rRNA 5S ribosomal RNA